rnacentral:rRNA from 1 species
AACGAACGCUGGCGGCAUGCCUAACACAUGCAAGUCGAACGAGACCUUCGGGUCUAGUGGCGCACGGGUGCGUAACGCGUGGGAAUCUGCCCUUGGGUUCGGAAUAACAGUUAGAAAUGACUGCUAAUACCGGAUGAUGACUUCGGUCCAAAGAUUUAUCGCCCAAGGAUGAGCCCGCGUCGGAUUAGCUAGUUGUUAGGGUAAAGGCCUACCAAGGCGACGAUCCUUAGCUGGUCUGAGAGGAUGAUCAGCCACACUGGGACUGAGACACGGCCCAGACUCCUACGGGAGGCAGCAGUGGGGAAUAUUGGACAAUGGGCGAAAGCCUGAUCCAGCAAUGCCGCGUAAGUGAUGAAGGCCCUAGGGUUGUAAAGCUCUUUUACCCGGGAUGAUAAUGACAGUACCGGGAGAAUAAGCCCCGGCUAACUCCGUGCCAGCCGCCGCCGUAACAC